UACGAAGGGGGCUAGCGUUGUUCGGAAUUACUGGGCGUAAAGGGCGCGUAGGCGGGCUGGUCAGUCCGGGGUGAAAUCUCACGGCUCAACCGUGAGCGGUCCCCGGAUACUGCCAGUCUUGAGGUGUCUAGAGGAGAGCGGAAUUCCCGGUGUAGUGGUGGAAUGCGUAGAUAUCGGGAAGAACACCAGUGGCGAAAGCGGCUCUCUGGGGACCACCUGACGCUGAGGCGCGAAAGCGUGGGGAGCGAACCGG
rnacentral:rRNA from 1 species